CAAUCAUGAAAAAGAACAGAUUGAAUUCCCCUUUUAAUGUAAAUGUGUAACCUUAGUUUUUACCUCUCCUACAAUUUGUUUUCGAGUUUUAGGAAGACGGAAUUCGAACCUGAGACCGCAAACUCUAGUAAUGCUUAUAUGCAGGGGCGGAUCUAGUACGGGGUAACACUUGUCCCUCAUAAAAAAAUUUGAUAGUUUUUCACCAUUUUAAAUCUUACAAAAUUAUAAAAAUGCCCCCACAAAAUUUAAAAUAUACACGUGUUUUCUGAAAAUUUGCUUGAUGCCCCCAAGAUUUGAAUUAUAGAUCCGUCCUUGCUCAUAUGAUAACAUGUAAACUGUACAUGUAGAUCAAAUAAACUAAAUGAAAUUACAGUUUUAGAGUAUUGUAGGCGUUAUAAUUCAGAAAUUAUUUACUUGUAAGGUUCUCAGAUGAUGAAUUACUGGCAAUAUGCAGCUGCAACUUAUUAUCCUGAUCUGUUUGCUGAGUUUUUCGCCUUCUCCGGUUAUGAUCAGCUAAUCUUUUCCGGCAGCUUCUCUUGCCAUUGUCAAAUUCGGUGAGGAGAUGAAAUCUGUUGUAUUUUCCAUAUGUCAAUUUUCAGGAUGGGAAAACAUCAAAAAAAUUAGUAGUACAAUUAUAUAUGCUCCAAUAGUAUAAAUUACUCUAUGUGAUGAUUGGUAUUACUAUAAGCAGCAAAAACAUAAUGUAGCAUAUUACGUUGACACAAAUUCAGGAAUUUAGUCCUGGGGAUCAUCCCUCGUAUAUUUGACAUGGAAACAUAAAUCGGAAUAAAAAUUACUUUUACUAAAACUUGGUAAAAAAUAAACACAAAUAUAUACAUUAUAUGAGUAUAUUUAAAAUUAAGUGCAUUGAGCUAAAUGCAUGGGAGGGUUGUUUUAGGUUUUUGGUGACAAACCGGCUACAUUGUUGGCAGAAGCGCUGAGUCAUUCCCGCGGCGAUGACGGUGGCUGCCUUGGAGUGAAACUCACAGACCUUAUGCCUCCGGUGGUAGUGCUUUGCAUGAGUAAGAUUGGCAUUGCAUCCUGCUGCUUGACACCGCGGCACAUUCAGUGAACCGGGUUCGACCAUGCUGGACCGCUGGUACAGCCGGUUCACAAAGUCAUCCUCGGACGAAGAAAAAUAAGUCCGCCCCCCUAAAUUAAGCCCAAUCCUACUAGUCCCAUACUCAAAACCGGCCGGUUCGCUCUUCGGCACAACCAUGAACCGGGUCGGGUCAUGAACCGGGUCGAGCGACAUCAUUCUCGGAUCCGGGUCCGGGUAUGACCCGUAAGAGUUCGGGUCAUAAAGGGACUGUAAAUGAGUGUUAUGGGUUGGUGGGUAGUGAAAAUAUGGGUGGUGAGUUUGGUUUUCAUAGGUAUUUUGAUGAUUAUGAUGAUUAGGGUUCAAGAGAUUUUGGUCGAAAGUUUGUGUGUAAUGAUUGUAAAGUUGUGGGUUAUGACCCGAAUCUUGGUCGGGUGGGUCAUCUCCAUUCACCAUCAAACUUGAAGGGUUGCCCCAUUCAUAGUCCAACAUUUUGGUUCUGAUAAAAGUUUACAGACAGUAAGAAAAAGCGGGAAUCAGACUUAAUCGAUACCUGCAGUUAUCUGGUUACAGAAACAAAGAGAUGAGGGAAAUAGUAUGGUACUAGUGGUGUAUUUCCAUUCCUAAGUGCUGCAACUUCUGAAAUCAAGUAAAGAAGACUUAAAUCAAGAAAGUGACAUAGACAUAAGUAACUACACAGUAGCUCAACUGAAAAGCUGUGUGAGAUAGGAAAGGUGUACAGUGUCUAGUUAAGUGUAUAGUUGAGAGGGAGAUAGAUAGGUUCUGUACAUUAUGCAACUUACCAAAUCACUGGAGAAUAGGUGAUGAUCAGCUUGCAGCAGCUACUUUACAGAUCUACCAAGUGGUUUUUUGAAUAGGUAGCUAUGAGGUAGCCUAGCUUUCCUUCAUUUUCUUUCUUUCACUCUCUGUGUCUGCUCUCUAUUUAUAGCAUGGCAUCACUUGCAACAUAAUGGGGCCGUUUGGCUGAGCUUAAAAUAAGUGCUUCUUGCUUAAAAUAAAUAAGUGGAGUAGAAGUUAAAAGCCAGACAAGACUUAUAAGUGAUUAAAGUGUUUGGCAAAUAAGCAGAAGUCCUGAAACAAAAGCUAGCAUUCCUAACUUUUUAUAAGUGAUAAAUAUCAAUGGACAGGACAAAGAAAAUAAUUUAAAUGCUAAAGAUGGAAAUAUAAUAGACCUUACAUGCAUGAACCUUCCUACUUGAUACAAAUCCCAUAACACUAACACACAAAAAUCCAGACUUACUUAUUAGCCAAAGAAAAAUUGAUUUUUCUUUGAAAUUAGAUGAUAAAACAGCUAUUUGUUAACACUUGUUCCUUAAUUCAGAAAUGCGAUAAACUAAUUACUUGCUAAUAGAGAUAGUAAUCCCUUAAAUAAUCCGGAACGCGUUAAUGAAUUGGUUUCUCCUCGCGAAGAAGUAUCAAAAUCACAGAUCUGAUGUCUAAAACAGAGAGUUUGUUGAAGAACUAGAGGCUUGAUAGUCAGAUCUUUGCUGAAAUUUGUCAAAUGAAAUCCUUGGCGGCGAAAUUGCAAUUGUCACUGAUGAAGAUGAAUGCACACCUGAAUCUGGUGGAGAUCCUGCAAUCAUGAAAAAGAACAGAUUGAAUUCCCCUUUUAAUGUAAAUGUGUAACCUUAGUUUUUACCUCUCCUACAAUUUGUUUUCGAGUUUUAGGAAGACGGAAUUCGAACCUGAGACCGCAAACUCUAGUAAUGCUUAUAUGCAGGGGCGGAUCUAGUACGGGGUAACACUUGUCCCUCAUAAAAAAAUUUGAUAGUUUUUCACCAUUUUAAAUCUUACAAAAUUAUAAAAAUGCCCCCACAAAAUUUAAAAUAUACACGUGUUUUCUGAAAAUUUGCUUGAUGCCCCCAAGAUUUGAAUUAUAGAUCCGUCCUUGCUCAUAUGAUAACAUGUAAACUGUACAUGUAGAUCAAAUAAACUAAAUGAAAUUACAGUUUUAGAGUAUUGUAGGCGUUAUAAUUCAGAAAUUAUUUACUUGUAAGGUUCUCAGAUGAUGAAUUACUGGCAAUAUGCAGCUGCAACUUAUUAUCCUGAUCUGUUUGCUGAGUUUUUCGCCUUCUCCGGUUAUGAUCAGCUAAUCUUUUCCGGCAGCUUCUCUUGCCAUUGUCAAAUUCGGUGAGGAGAUGAAAUCUGUUGUAUUUUCCAUAUGUCAAUUUUCAGGAUGGGAAAACAUCAAAAAAAUUAGUAGUACAAUUAUAUAUGCUCCAAUAGUAUAAAUUACUCUAUGUGAUGAUUGGUAUUACUAUAAGCAGCAAAAACAUAAUGUAGCAUAUUACGUUGACACAAAUUCAGGAAUUUAGUCCUGGGGAUCAUCCCUCGUAUAUUUGACAUGGAAACAUAAAUCGGAAUAAAAAUUACUUUUACUAAAACUUGGUAAAAAAUAAACACAAAUAUAUACAUUAUAUGAGUAUAUUUAAAAUUAAGUGCAUUGAGCUAAAUGCAUGGGAGGGUUGUUUUAGGUUUUUGGUGACAAACCGGCUACAUUGUUGGCAGAAGCGCUGAGUCAUUCCCGCGGCGAUGACGGUGGCUGCCUUGGAGUG
rnacentral:lncRNA from 1 species